rnacentral:lncRNA from 1 species
UCCGACUACGCCUCCAAAUCUCGCAAUAAUCACAGGCCGUUGGAGAACAGGAGGGGCUGGAGUUUCCUUUUGUAGCGGUACCUUCACUUGAAGAAGCAGGAAGAAAAAAAACCACCCUGAUGACAAUUUAAGAAACAAUAGAUACGACUCUCGAAGCCGGCUUGGCUACUUGAAGUGUCAUUUUCCACAACCAGGCAAGUUUUUUUCUCUCUCUUUUUUCCUCCUCCUCUCUCAACCAAAGAUGUUUC